rnacentral:rRNA from 1 species
GAUGAACGCUAGCUACAGGCUUAACACAUGCAAGUCGAGGGACCGGCGCACGGGUGAGUAACACGUAUCCAACCUGCCCUUUACUCGGGGAUAGCCUUUCGAAAGAAAGAUUAAUACCCGCUAUAAAGGCUGGGGAUGCGUUCCAUUAGGUUGUUGGUGAGGUAACGGCUCACCAAGCCUUCGAUGGAUAGGGGUUCUGAGGGGAAGGUCCCCCAUAUGGUAACUGGGACACGGGCCAAACUCUGACGGGAGGCAGCAGUGAGGAAGAUUGGUCAGUGGACGCUAGCCUGAACCGGCCAAGUAGGGUGAAGGAUGAAGGCUUAGGGAUCGUAGACUUCUUUUAUAUAAGAAUAUGUAUUAGAUGAAUAAGGACCGGCUAACUCCGUGCCAGCCGCCGCGGUAAUUC